UUACUAAUCCUGUUUAGAACUUGGUAAGAAGACUUCACAACUCUGAGGACAAUACAAAGAAAUUUUGUCCUGAGAAGUAUGGAAUAUAGUUUCAAUUACAUAUUUCUUUUUGUCAAUUUCUUCUCUAAUAUUAUUCUUUAUAUGCACAGAUUUAACUCUGCAAACAACAUUUCAGUUGUGACCUUCCUUCCAAUUGUGACCAGCGAUGCAGCCCCAGAUGUCAUCAAAGAUUUCUGCCUUACCCUUGGAUUUGUUGUUAUUAAAUCUGCCAAACCUACACUUGCUUCCGUCUAUUUCGUGACAAUACACACCACUGGCAGAUAUUGCAACUUUCAGCCAAAGUGGAUAGCUUUAAGAUUUGCGAUCUAUGUUAGUCCAAGGACAAGAAAAGGAAAUCUGGAGUGGAGUGACUGUUGAUCUCAUGAAUGAUGAGGAAGAUGGGAUGCUGGAUGGAAGGCCAGUGUGGCUUGUUAAGCCACCAUGCCGCAGUGCAAUUAUUGAUGAUCUAUGUAGAAAAUUGCAGAGGCGACUAUGAUCCAAAGUACCUCAGCAACCACAAUACUCGUCUAUACACUGGUCGACGGUUAUCUCAGAAGUUUUGGCGUGGUGCUGGGGUCAUGGAAGAUGUGGGACGUGCUUCUCUUGAGCAUACAUCUAGCACAUAUGUUUCUCUGUAAGUGGAUGACUCCUUUGAGGGGAUAUUUACAUCUUUAUCAUUGUUUUUACAUGUAACACUUUUGUACAGUUCACAGGUGAUACUUAUGAUGAUUGUUACA